AAAGUGAAGGCAGGCUCGCUGGUUUGCUGAGAUCUGUCAGAGGCUGACUGGCUGGCUACAUAUCUGUCUCUGGAACAAUAGGUACCUAUAUUCUGCACGGGCUUCUGGGCAGGCAGCACUAACACUCAGGAGAAGGUCUGCCUCUGUCUGCGCCUUCCUGGUUCAAUGCAGGCAGAUGAGUGUCACAGAUGUAACUGAGGCACUGAAUAAUCAACAUAUCGGAGCCAAUUCCCAGGACGGCAAGAGGGGGAACCGGCAGAGAUGACUGACCCUGGAGGACAAGAGCAUUCUUCUGACAAGUUUUAGCAUGGACUAUCCUCAGGAAAAUGAGAUCCAGGAAGAGUGACGCCCUCCUCGAACUGAAAGAUACUCAGGUUGAUGGAGUCAGGGACGAAGUGGCUUAUCAACAACACAGGAUGUCUGCAGGGAACAGAACUUAUUCAGACAUGGCCCAGAUUGUCUGCCCGUGGGGACUGAGGGACCUCUGAGGGUUACAUCAGGAAGGAAGGAGAGGCUGUUUCUACAGGUGCCACAGAAAAAUCGAUGCUGAGCCUCGGAUUAUUGGAUCCCAUAGAACCGUGGAGACUUGGCAGUGAAAUUCUUCCAAAGCAUUCCAUCUGCGCAGGCAGGCAGAGGUUUUCCUGGUUUGGGAAGUAUAAAUCCCGUGGGAAGUCAACUGGAGGACAUUUUACGCGUCACUCAUCCUAUUAUGAGCCUGCUGCUCCUCCGUCUCUUGACAAGCUGUCUGAGAUGCCAACACCACAGAGCACAAUAUCUUUGAGUUGGAAACAUGUCAUUUGCUUGCGUCUCGUCAUCCUUUGGGGUUUUUCUAGACUCCCUGCCUCUUCUGUUUCUCGUCGAUGCUUCCAUUGUAUUCCAGUUGGCAGCUAAAGGACAGGAGCAGCAAUAAGGCUUCCUGGCUACAUUUUCAUGGUGCCACCAACUGCGAGUUAAGCUGACAAACAUUUUGAGAGCUCGGCCCAUUUCAUUCCCAGCAGGAUGGCAGGAGUUAACUAAAACAGAAUAAACUAAAAAUUGUGCCUUCAUUGCACAUUUGCACUGAUUAUCAGCACUGAAAAUGGCUAAGUUCUGCUUAUCAAGAGCGGGUGACUGAUUGUCCCUGCCAGCUGGCUAAUAUCAUAAUUAGCAAAGUUGCUACCACAUCUGCAAAGUUUAAUCGAAAAAUUUACCAGUGGUAUGAUGGCAUUGUCACCGCGAUCCUGAGGGAAUCAGAGUCGACUUCUGCUUCAACUGGAAUGGCAAGGCUGUAGAGCUGAGAUGAGAAACUGUAAACUUGCUCAGCCAAAGGUUAUGCUUCACAUCACCCACCAGGGAGGAUCAUCUCUCAUGAAAACUUUCAAAUUUGAUUUUGAAAAUUUAUUCAGAAAAAUUUAAGCCACGCUCUUUCCCAACACAGGAAAUAAUAUGCUCCAGAGAAUCCUCUAAUUCACCGAAAAUGGACUUGGAUAACAUUUGGGUUCUCAUACUACCACAGUCCUCUUGAGAAGGACAGCCAGGCUUGGGUGGCAGUGGUGAGGAAGGUUCCUUUCUGUCAAGGGAGCUGAUGCCUUAAAGAAGCUAUCUCCAGAUAAAGGGAGAUCUAAGGAAGGAAGCCAACGAAAGACACCAUGUACCAGAAAGCCAAGCAGGAUUUUGACAUUUAUAACCAUAAUCUCUAUAAACAAGAUGAAUUAUGGCUGGGGAUUCAGUUAGUAAAUCAACGAAAAUAAAUCCUGUGCAUAAUUCAAAGAUAACCCAAAUAAGAACAGAAAGUUGUGUGUCAUAGUCACUGGCAUCUAUCCGGUGCUUCUGAACCAUGAACCACAUGACCUGAUUAAAGAGGUUGCUGUGAGUGUGUUGUACUCUUCGUGAACUAAAUUCCAUGAUGACAGAAAACAAACCUGAAAACAAGAGUUAUUUCACAACUCUAGAGCUCCACAGAGUCGGCUGCAAUUGGUUGAGUUGAGGUGAAUUUUCAGUGGACCUGGAUCAGUGUAGAAGGGCAGGAACAUUGGCCCAGCACAGCCCCAGGCUGUGCAGCAUUCAAUGUGACUUGGGACUGGCCUUCCUGGCUCUGCCUUGCCGGUGAAACAUGGAUUGGAAGCUUUGAAUGUUGGAAGAAAUAAACAAGUCUUGGUUGGAGUCCCAGUUUCAAUAACCACAUAUUUUCAAACCUAGACAAAUAUUCUGGUCUCAUCUCCUCAUUUGGAUUACUUCAAUCCUCGGAGAGAACGGAAUAGGACUCUGUAUUUCUUUGGAUGUUCAACACAGUGUUUAACUAAUGGGUGCUAUUUGAAAUAUUAUCGUCUAUUAUCAUUGCUAUUCUAAUAAGGAUGAUACUUGCUAUAAAUAUUAUUGAGAAAAAAAACUUGGAAGUGUUCUUGAGCAACAUAAACAGUACAAAAUGACAGAUAUUAAACACCGUUCUUUUUUGCACGUAAAACUAUACAAAUAAAAAUAUAGAAAAGCU
rnacentral:lncRNA from 1 species